ACCCUCAAUAAGAUGGACCUGUAAAAAAAUUGUGUUUAUACUACAGAAAAUGAAAUUCGUUUUGCAAAUAAAUAGCACAUGUUAAAGAAUGCAAUGACCAAGUUUAAUCAUAUGCAAUGGUAACUAAAGGCAUAAAAUGCAAUGACAAAAAAAUACGGCAUCAGAUUCAAAAAAAAUGGUUUGAUCUAUGCUCAGUACAAAUAAACUGUACAAGUUUGUCAGUUUAUAUGCUAAAUACAACUUCCAUUCGAACUGUAUAGGCCUUUUAAAUUCAUUAAUUUUUCAGAAAUUUGUACUCACCUGCUUUCUGUUACUAUAAGUAUUAAACACUCAGCACACUCCACUUCAAGUAUGCCUGGCCAUGGUCCAGGUUGAGCCCAGAACCAAACUGGCUACUAGGAAGGCCCAUUAACCAGACUGGUCGAGUCUGGUUCGGUUUUUAAAAAAUAAAUAAAUAAAUA
rnacentral:misc_RNA from 1 species